AUAAUGCAGUCGACGCACUUUCGUUAUUGAUUUUGAGAUGCUUGCAUCGAAGAUGAUUUUAACUAUAAAGUGAGUGGCGAACGGGUGAGUAACACGUGGGUAACCUGCCCAGAAGUGGGGGAUAACACCUGGAAACAGAUGCUAAUACCGCAUAACAAAAUUAACCGCAUGGUUGAUUUUUAAAAGAUGGCUUCGGCUAUCACUUCUGGAUGGACCCGCGGCGUAUUAGCUAGUUGGUGAGAUAAAGGCUCACCAAGGCAGUGAUACGUAGCCGACCUGAGAGGGUAAUCGGCCACAUUGGGACUGAGACACGGCCCAGACUCCUACGGGAGGCAGCAGUAGGGAAUCUUCCACAAUGGACGCAAGUCUGAUGGAGCAACGCCGCGUGAGUGAUGAAGGCUUUCGGGUCGUAAAACUCUGUUGUUGGAGAAGAACGUGUGUGAGAGUAACUGCUCAUGCAGUGACGGUAUCCAACCAGAAAGCCACGGCUAACUACGUGCCAGCAGCCGCGGUAAUACGUAGGUGGCAAGCGUUAUCCGGAUUUAUUGGGCGUAAAGCGAGCGCAGGCGGUCUUUUAAGUCUAAUGUGAAAGCCUUCGGCUUAACCGAAGAAGUGCAUUGGAAACUGGGAGACUUGAGUGCAGAAGAGGAGAGUGGAACUCCAUGUGUAGCGGUGAAAUGCGUAGAUAUAUGGAAGAACACCAGUGGCGAAAGCGGCUCUCUGGUCUGCAACUGACGCUGAGGCUCGAAAGCAUGGGUAGCGAACAGGAUUAGAUACCCUGGUAGUCCAUGCCGUAAACGAUGAAUGCUAAGUGUUGGAGGGUUUCCGCCCUUCAGUGCUGCAGCUAACGCAUAGCAUCGCUGGGGGAGUACGACGC
rnacentral:rRNA from 1 species